rnacentral:rRNA from 1 species
UACGGGGGGAGCAAGCGUUGUUCGGAUUUACUGGGCGUAAAGGGCGCGUAGGCGGCGCGACAAGUCACUUGUGAAAUCUCUGGGCUCAACCCAGAACGGUCAAGUGAUACUGUCGUGCUAGAGUGCGGAAGGGGCAACUGGAAUUCUUGGUGUAGCGGUGAAAUGCGUAGAUAUCAAGAGGAACACCUGCGGCGAAGGCGGGUGGCUGGGCCGACACUGACGCUGAGGCGCGAAAGCCAGGGGAGCGAACGGG